UACGUAGGGGGCAAGCGUUAUCCGGAUUUACUGGGUGUAAAGGGAGCGUAGGCGGCGAUGCAAGUCAGAAGUGAAAGCCCGCAGCUCAACUGCGGGACUGCUUUUGAAACUGUAUUGCUAGAUUGCAGGAGAGGUAAGUGGAAUUCCUAGUGUAGCGGUGAAAUGCGUAGAUAUUAGGAGGAACACCAGUGGCGAAGGCGGCUUACUGGACUGUAAAUGACGCUGAGGCUCGAAAGCGUGGGGAGCAA
rnacentral:rRNA from 1 species